AUUGAACGCUGGCGGCAUGCCUUACACAUGCAAGUCGAACGGUAACAGGUCUUCGGAUGCUGACGAGUGGCGAACGGGUGAGUAAUACAUCGGAACGUGCCUAGUAGUGGGGGAUAACUACUCGAAAGGGUGGCUAAUACCGCAUGAGAUCUACGGAUGAAAGCAGGGGAUCGCAAGACCUUGUGCUACUAGAGCGGCCGAUGGCAGAUUAGGUAGUUGGUGGGAUAAAAGCUUACCAAGCCGACGAUCUGUAGCUGGUCUGAGAGGACGAUCAGCGACACUGUGACUGAGACACGGCCCGGACGCCUACGGGAGGCAGCAGUGGGGAAUUUUGGACAAUGGGCGCAAGCCUGAUCCAGCAAUGCCGCGUGCAGGAUGAAGGCCUUCGGGUUGUAAACUGCUGUUGUACGGAACGAAAAGCCCCGGGUUAAUACCCUGGGGUCAUGACGGUACCGUAAGAAUAAGCACCGGCUAACUACGUGCCAGCCGCCGCGGUAA
rnacentral:rRNA from 1 species